rnacentral:tRNA from 12 species
GCGUGUCUACCGAUUUCACCAUAGCGGC